GACGAACGCUGGCGGCGUGCCUAAUACAUGCGAGUUGAGCGCUGAAGGUUGGUACUUGUACCAACUGGAUGAGCAGCGAACGGGUGAGUAACGCGUGGGGAAUCUGCCUUUGAGCGGGGGACAACAUUUGGAAACGAAUGCUAAUACCGCAUAAAAACUUUAAAUACAAGUUUUAAGUUUGAAAGAUGCAAUUGCAUCACUCAAAGAUGAUCCCGCGUUGUAUUAGCUAGUUGGUGAGGUAAAGGCUCACCAAGGCGAUGAUACAUAGCCGACCUGAGAGGGUGAUCGGCCACAUUGGGACUGAGACACGGCCCAAACUCCUACGGGAGGCAGCAGUAGGGAAUCUUCGGCAAUGGACGAAAGUCUGACCGAGCAACGCCGCGUGAGUGAAGAAGGUUUUCGGAUCGUAAAACUCUGUUGGUAGAGAAGAACGUUGGUGAGAGUGGAAAGCUCAUCAAGUGACGGUAACUACCCAGAAAGGGACGGCUAACUACGUG
rnacentral:rRNA from 1 species